rnacentral:lncRNA from 1 species
UCGACAUUGAAGAAGGCAAGAGGCUAAUGCGGUACCAAAGAAACCCUAGUCUGAAGGACAUAAAGAAGAAGGAGUUUACUGAGGAAUUCGAGUUCCUUGCUGAGAUAGUAUGCAAAUGUAUAUUAUGCAAGGAUACGACACAUGACACUGUGCUUGAUCAACAACUGAAGAUUAUGUCUGCAAUAGUUCUAAAGAAGAGAAUCAACUUUGGAGUUAUCCUGUUUGAUCAGAUCUCUAAAUGGGUAGAAAAGGCUGAGUUGAAGAAGUCUACAGAAAAACCCCUGAUAAACGUGUUUUAUGGAAGACUGUUGAGUAUAGUGCUAAAAAGGAAGCUGGG